rnacentral:misc_RNA from 1 species
GAUGAAGAACGUAGCGAAAUGCGAUACUUGGUGUGAAUUGCAGAAUCCCGUGAACCAUCGAGUCUUUGAACGCAAGUUGCGCCUCAAGCCAUUAGGUUGAGGGCACGUCUGCCUGGGCGUCACAUAUCGUUGCCUGAUGCCAGUUUCCUCGUGAUGGGUGACUGUGCAGGGCGAAUGAUGGCUUCCCGUGAGCAUUGUUGCCUCAUGGUUGGUUGAAAAUUGAGUCCUUGGUAGGGAGCGCCGUGAUAGAUGGUGGUUGAGUGACGAACGAGACCCAAUCAUGUGAGACCCCUACCGAAUUUGGCCUUCAUAACCCACAUGCGUCUUUGGAACGCUCAUGACGAGACCUCAGGUCAGGCGGGGCUACCCGCUGAGUUUAAGCAUAUCAAUAAGCGGAGGA